rnacentral:rRNA from 1 species
CAGCCGCGGUAAUACCAGCUCCGCUAGCGUAUACUAAAGUUGUUGCUGUUAAAAAGCUCGUAGUUGGAUUUCAGGGGGGUCUGCAUGGCCCGGGCGUGUUCAACGUCCGCGUGCCAAGGCUUCAGGCCGCGCAGUCCCUCCUUAAUUCAGGAACGUCGGUCUGGCUAUUUACUUAGCUGGGUCGUUGGGCCUGAUCUUUUACUUUGAGAAAAUUAAAGUGCUCAAAGCAGGUUUUUGCCUGAAUGCAUUAGCAUGGAAUAAUAAAACAAGACUUUGG